rnacentral:RNase_P_RNA from 1 species
GCAGUAAACCGGUCGAUUGCAUGAGAAAUCAUGAGGAAAGUCCGCGCACCAUAGAGCAGGAUGCUGGAUAACGUCCAGUGAGGGCGACCUUAAGGCUAGUGCAACAGAGAUAUACCGCCUGUCGUAAGAUAGGUAAGGGUGGAAAGGCGGGGUAAGAGCCCACCGGCAGCUAGGAGACUAGGUGGCCAUGUAAACCCCAUCCGGUGCAAGACCAAAAGCGGGAAAAGGGGCAGUUGCUCGUUGCCCUCCGAAAAGGUAGGUUGCUUGAGCUAUUGGGUAACCAAUAGCCUAGAUAGAUAAUCGACGAUAACAGGACGCGGCUUAUAGGUUUAGUGCAUAU